rnacentral:rRNA from 1 species
AGAUUUAGUGGCGAACGGGUGAGGAUCACGUGAGAAACCUGCCCCAGACUUUGGGAUAACAGUUGGAAACGACUGCUAAUACCGAAUGACGUCGGAGAACCGCAUGGUUCACUGACGAAAGGAAUUCCGAUUCGAGAGGGUCUCGCGGCCUAUCAGCUAGUUGGCGGGGUAAUGGCCCACCAAGGCAACGACGGGUAGCUGGUCUGAGAGGAUGGUCAGCCACACUGGGACUGAGACACGGCCCAGACUCC